rnacentral:tRNA from 1 species
GGUAAAGUGGCCGAGUGUAAGGCGGCAGGCUGUAGUCCUGUANACAUUGGUUUAAUUCCUUUCUUUAUC